rnacentral:rRNA from 1 species
GACGAACCGUGCGAACGUUAUUCGGAUUCACUGGGCUUAAAGGGCGCGUAGGCGGGCGGCUUUGUCAGGGGUGAAAUCUUUCGGCCCAACCGGAAGACUGCCUCUGAGACGGGCCGUCUCGAGGGAGGUAGGGGCAUGCGGAACUUCCGGUGGAGCGGUGAAAUGCGUAGAUAUCGGAAGGAACGCCGGUGGCGAAAGCGGCGUGCUGGACCUCUUCUGACGCUGAGGCGCGAAAGCCAGGGGAGCAAACGGG